GCGUCGGCGUGGUAUAACGGUUAGCAUAGCUGCCUUCCGCAAGCAGUGUUGACCUGGUUCGACUCCCGGCUGACGCA